AUUGAACGCUGGCGGCAGGCCUAACACAUGCAAGUCGAGCGGAGCGGCGGACGGGUGAGUAAUGCCUAGGAAUCUGUCUGGUAGUGGGGGAUAACGUCCGGAAACGGGCGCUAAUCCCGCAUACUAUCAGAUGAGCCUCUGUCGGAUUAGCUAGUUGGUGGGGUAAAGGCCUACCCAGGCGACGAUCCGUAACUGGUCUGAGAGGAUGAUCAGUCACACUGGAACGGAGACACGGUCCAUACUCCUACGGUAGGCAGCAGUGGGGAAUAUUGGAGAAUGGGCGAAAGCCUGAUACAGCCAGGACGCGUGUGUGAAGAAGGUCUUCGGAUGGUAAAGCACUUUAAGUUGUGAGGCGUUACCAACAGAAUAAGCACCGGCUAACUUCGUGCCAGCAGCCGCGGUAAUAC
rnacentral:rRNA from 1 species